rnacentral:lncRNA from 1 species
UGUGGAGAUCACUUUAAUUAGUUGUUUUAAUUAGAUUGGGAAUGGUGGGUAGAUUUGAAUUGUUUUGAGAGGUGAGGGAAUUAAUGUUUUUAAAUUUUAUAAAACAAAAUAGCAUGCGGACAAAAAAGAUGAAGAGAGAGAGAGAGAAAAAAAGUAGAAAGAUAGAGAGAGAUAAGGCAAAAAGUUUAGUAGCAAUUCCAAAUGCACAGGCUAGAAAAAGUAAUUUUAAAUAAAAAAUAUUGUAACGAACAAAACAAGUUUUUUAUAAUUGAAAUAUUUUCUACUAUAUCCAACUAAAUAAAAUACAAAUAGUGACAACUAUUAUAUUUUCAAUUAUUUAUAUAUUUAAUUAUACUGUAUUUAUAAUUACAUCCA